CCUACGGGUGGCAGCAGUAGGGAAUAUUGGGCAAUGGACGCAAGUCUGACCCAGCCACGCCGCGUGAAGGAUGACUGCCCUAUGGGUUGUAAACUUCUUUUGUAUGGGAAGAAACCUCCGAACGUGUUCGGAGCUGACGGUACCAUAAGAAUAAGCAUCGGCUAACUCCGUGCCAGCAGCCGCGGUAAUACGGAGGAUGCAGGCGUCAUCCGGUUUCAUGGGGUCGAAGGCGUAGGUUUAAGUCAGUGUUGAAAGCUCGCAGCUUAACUGUGAAAAUGCCAUUGAAACUGAUUUUCUUGAGUUCGAGUGAGGUAGAUGGAAUGUAUCAUGUAGCGGUGAAAUGCUUAGAUAUGAUACAGAACACCAAUUGCGAAGGCAGUCUACUAAGUCGAUACUGACGCUGAGGCACGAAAGCAUGGGGAGCAAACAGGAUUAGAUACCCCUGUAGUC
rnacentral:rRNA from 1 species